rnacentral:lncRNA from 11 species
GUUUAGAGAGCCAUUGGGAGCUUUGGUGGGCAGAAGGACAAGAGAGGCGGCGCCUGGCUUUUUGGCCGGCUCUUCGCCCUCCGGCCUGGGGCCUCUGAACGGGAAGGGCUUCUUCGGAGGGUCGGGAGAACUUGAUACAUUUUGCAUAAAUUGGGUGUGGAGUGAGUGCCAGGAAAUUGUGCAAUUGGAACCACAUUUCUUCUUCCAUUAUGGACUGCUGCAUAUGAAGCUGGAGGACUAAGUGGGGUGGCAUUUUCUGGAAAAUAAGAGUGAUUCUCUGCCUGAAUGCCUUAAAGGCAUCAGAUCCUGAACGAUCUUGGAAGCGAAGCAGAGUUUGGAAGAGGAACACCAACAAUUUCUUUCUCUUUCUCUUAAGAAAGGUGACUUGAAGGCACAUACACACAAGCAUGUUUUAGUAUAUAUUAUAUUCUGAUUGUAUUUAUUUUUAGUCUGCAUACAGGCAGUCCAAGAGUUACAAACAGCCCAAUUUGCAAAGGACUCAUGCCGUAAAGAAUGGGAAUGAGAUAGCAGGAAGUGAGAGAAAUCGACCCCUCCUGAAAGAAACUCACUCCUGAAAGAUUUAUUAUCACGGGGAAAAGGUGUUUCCACUGAUACUUUCUCUCCAAUCUUUGUUUCCACAACAAGCCACAUUUUCAAAAUCCAGUGAUCUCAGGGACAGAAAGCAUAACAGGCACCACAGCGUGCAAAUCUACAGAACCUAUCUUGUUUGUAACUUAACGGCUACUUGUACAGUUUAUUAGUGUUGUGCAUUCAUAUGGAAUUGCUGUUUGUUUUGUGUAGUUUUAUUUGUAUCAUCUCAUUUUUGUAUUUGUGACUCACUAACAAAAAUGGGCUGCCUAUACGACUCAAAUUUUUGACUGGCUAAAAAAUAAAUGAACAUUUUUAGACCAUUGGCUGCAAUGGGAGGGCUUCUGAGGCUCACCCCACCCAGCUGAGUUUUUGGGCUAGAGGGGUGAAAAUCACCACACACGGACGGUAUUUUGACCCCUUUUAGCCCAUUUGGGUCUUCCACAGAGUACUAUUGUAUUAUUAAUAUUAUUAUUAUUAACACCAAUUGUCACACAUCAGCUGUCAUGGGGAAGCAGCCCUCUCUCAGACUCAGCUUAGGGUCCCAGAAUAACUAUUGUGAUUAUUAUUAUUAUUAUUAUUAUUAUUAUUAUUAAGACCCAUUGGGACACAUUGGAUGUAAUGGGGAAGUAGCCCUCUCUCAGACUCAGCUUAGGGUCCCAGAAUAACUAUUGUGAUUAUUAUUAUUAUUAUUAUUAUUAUUAUUAUUAUUAUUAUUAAGACCCAUUGGGACACAUUGGAUGUAAUGGGGAAGUAGCCCUCUCUCAGACUCAGCUUAGGGUCCCAGAAUAACUACUGUGAUCAUCAUCAUCAUCAUCAUCAUCAUCAUCAUCAUCAUCAUCAUCAUCAUCACCCAUUGGGACACAUUAGUUGUCAAGGUUAAGCAUCCCUCUCUCAGACUCAGCUUAGGGUCCCAGAAUAACUAUUGUGAUUAAUAUUAAUAUUAUUACUAAGACCCAUUGGGACACAUUGGAUGUAAUGGGGAAGCAGCCCUCUCUCAGACUCAGCUUAGGGUCCCAGAAUAAC